rnacentral:pre_miRNA from 1 species
UUGCAUUGUUAGUUGCAUUGCAUUGGCUUUAGAUUAUGCAAUGCAUACGCAGUGUAAUC